AGUAAAGAAGUAAAAAUUACAUUUAGUUUCGGCCUAAAUUUAAGAAUAAAACUAUUCUCAUACUA
rnacentral:tRNA from 1 species